rnacentral:rRNA from 1 species
UUGAUCAUGGCUCAAAUUGAACGCUGGCGGCAGGCCUCCCUCAUGCAAGUCGAGGGGCACCACGAUGUACCAAUACAUUGGUGGCAACCGGCGCACGGGUGCGUAACGCGUAUGUAACCUGCCUUACACCGGGGGAUACCCUUCCAAAAGGGAAAUUAAUACCGCAUAAUAUUAUAUACCCACCUGGUUGUAUAAUUAAAACUUCGGUGGUGUAAAAUGGACAUGCGUAUGAUUAGCUAGUUGGGGGGGUAACGGCCCACCAAGGCAACAAUCAUUAGGGGUUCUGAAAGGAAGGUCCCCCACACUGGUACUGAAACACGGACCAAACUCCUACGGGAGGCAGCAUUGAGGAAUAUUGGUCAAUGGACGGAAUUCUGAACCACCCAUGUCCCGUGCAGGAUGACUGCCCUAUGGGUUGUAAACUGCUUUUGUAUGGAAAGAAA